AUGUCCUCUACUGUUCCCCCCAGUUGUUUUGGGAUGUCCUCUACUGUUCUACUGUUCUCCCCAGUUGUUUUGGGAUGUCCUCUACUGUUCUACUGUUCUCCCCAGUUGUUUUGGGAUGUCCUCUACUGUUCUACUGUUCUCCCCAGUUGUUUUGGCAUGUUCUCUACUGUCCUACUGUUCUCCCCAGAUGUUUUAGACAGAGGGAACCAUAUGUGUUGUUCUGAUCUUGUGAGUUAUAUUGACAAUAUGUUUUCAUUUAAACCACGUAAACUCACUUUCUCCCUGUCUGACUGCAACUCCUUCCUGAGCUCCAGGACGUAUCAUGUGUUUAAUAGUGAUAGUCUGUUCUACAACUCCUUCCUGAGCUCCAGGACGUAUCCUGUGUUUUAUAGUGAUAGUCUGUUCUACAACUCCUUCCUGAGCUCCAGGACAUAUCAUGUGUUUAAUAGUGAUAGUCUGUCUGACUACAACUCCUUCCUGAGCUCCAGGACAUAUCAUGUGUUUAAUAGUGAUAGUCUGUUCUACAACUCCUUCCUGAGCUCCAGGACAUAUCAUGGGUUUAAUAGUGAUAGUCUGUCUGACUACAACUCCUUCCUGAGCUUCAGGACGUAUCAUGUGUUUAAUAGUGAUAGUCUGUCUGACUACAACUCCUUCCUGAGCUCCAGGACGUAUCAUGUGUUUAAUAGUGAUAGUCUGUCUGACUACAACUCCUUCCUGAGCUCCAGGACAUAUCAUGUGUUUAAUAGUGAUAGUCUGUCUGACUACAACUCCUUCCUGAGCUCCAGGACGUAUCAUGGGUUUAAUAGUGAUAGUCUGUCUGACUGCAACUCCUUCCUGAGCUCCAGGACGUAUCAUGGGUUUAAUAGUGAUAGUCUGUCUGACUACAACUCCUUCCUGAGCUCCAGGACGUAUCAUGGGUUUAAUAGUGAUAGUCUGUCUGACUGCAACUCCUUCCUGAGCUCCAGGACGUAUCAUGGGUUUAAUAGUGAUAGUCUGUUCUACAACUCCUUCCUGAGCUCCAGGACGUAUCCUGUGUUUAAUAGUGAUAGUCAGUCUGUUCUACAACUCCUUCCUGAGCUCCAGGACAUAUCAUGUGUUUUAUAG
rnacentral:lncRNA from 1 species